rnacentral:rRNA from 1 species
UACGUAGGGUGCAAGCGUUGUUCGGAUUCAUUGGGCGUAAAGGGUGCGUAGGUGGCGCCGUAAGUCAGGUGUGAAAUCUCGGGGCUCAACCCCGAAACUGCACUUGAUACUGCGGUGCUCGAGUACUGGAGAGGAGAUUGGAAUUUACGGUGUAGCAGUGAAAUGCGUAGAUAUCGUAAGGAAGACCAGUGGCGAAGGCGAAUCUCUGGACAGUUACUGACACUGAGGCACGAAGGCCAGGGGAGCAAACGGG